rnacentral:rRNA from 1 species
GACGAACGCUGGCGGCGUGCCUAAUACAUGCAAGUUGAGCGCUGAAGGUUGGUACUUGUACCAACUGGAUGAGCAGCGAACGGGUGAGUAACGCGUGGGGAAUCUGCCUUUGAGCGGGGGACAACAUUUGGAAACGAAUGCUAAUACCGCAUAAAAACUUUAAACACAAGUUUUAAGUUUGAAAGAUGCAAUUGCAUCACUCAAAGAUGAUCCCGCGUUGUAUUAGCUAGUUGGUGAGGUAAAGGCUCACCAAGGCGAUGAUACAUAGCCGACCUGAGAGGGUGAUCGGCAACAUUGGGACUGAGACACGGCCCAAACUCCUACGGGAGGCGGCAGAAGGGAAUCUUCGGCAAUGGACGAAAGUCUGACCGAGCAACGCCGCGUGAGUGAAGAAGGUUUUCGGAUCGUAAAACUCUGUUGGUAGAGAAGAACGUUGGUGAAAGUGGAAAGCUCAUCAAGUGACGGUAACUACCCAGAAAGGGACGGCUAACUACGUG